rnacentral:rRNA from 1 species
AGAAUUUGAUCUUGGUUCAGAUUGAAUGCUGACGGCGUGGAUGAGGCAUGCAAGUCGAACGGAGUUAAUCGGAGCUUGCUCUGAUUAACUUAGUGGCGGAAGGGUUAGUAAUACAUGGAUAACCUACCCUUUACUCGGGAAUAACAGUUGGAAACGACUGCUAAUACCGGAUGAGGCGCUCCAAGGCAUCUUGGGGACGUCAAAGCGGGGGAUCUUCGGACCUCGCGGUAAAGGAAGGGUCCAUGGGAUAUCAGCUUGUUGGUGAGGUAAAAGCUCACCAAGGCUAAGACGUCUAGGCGGGUUGAGAGAUUGACCGCCAACACUGGGACUGAAACACUGCCCAGACUCCUACGGGAGGCUGCAGUCGAGAAUCAUUCACAAUGGGCGAAAGCCUGAUGAUGCGACGCCGUGUGAGCGAUGAAGGCCUUAGGGUUGUAAAGCUCUUUCGCAUGGGAAUAAGGGAGCCUGGUUAAUAACCGAGUAACUUGAAGGUACCAUGUAAAGAAGCACCGGCUAACUCCGUGCCAGCAGCUGCGGUGAUACGGAGGGUGCGAGCAUUAAUCGGAUUUAUUGGGCGUAAAGGGCGCGUAGGCGGGCUAGUAAGUCAGAUGUGAAAGCCCAGGGCUCAACCCUGGAAUUGCAUUUGAAACUACUAGUCUUGAGGGUAGGCGGAGAUGACGGAAUUCCACGUGUAGCGGUGAAAUGCGUAGAUAUGUGGAAGAACACCGGUGGCGAAGGCGGUCAUCUAGCUUAUUCCUGACGCUGAGGCGCGAAAGCAAGGGGAGCAAACAGGAUUAGAUACCCUGGUAGUCCUUGCCGUAAACGAUGCAUACUUGGUGUAGUGGGAAUCAGCCCCCAUUUUGCCGAAGCUAACGCGAUAAGUAUGCCGCCUGGGGAGUACGCUCGCAAGGGUGAAACUCAAAAGAAUUGACGGGGACCCGCACAAGCAGUGGAGCAUGUGGUUUAAUUCGAUGCAACGCGAAGAACCUUACCCAGACUUGACAUAUACUUGACCGCCGCAGAAAUGCGGUUUCUCCAUGAGCAGGUAUACAGGUGCUGCAUGGCUGUCGUCAGCUCGUGCCGUGAGGUGUUGGGUUAAGUCCCGCAACGAGCGCAACCCUUAUCGUUAGUUGCCAACAGGUAAUGCUGGGAACUCUAACGAGACUGCCUGGGUUAACCAGGAGGAAGGUGAGGAUGACGUCAAGUCAGCAUGGCCCUUAUGUCUGGGGCUACACACGUGCUACAAUGGCCGGUACAGAAGGCCGCGAAGCCGCGAGGUGGAGCAAAUCUUUAAAACCGGUCCCAGUUCGGACUGGAGUCUGCAACUCGACUCCAUGAAGUUGGAAUUGCUAGUAACGGCGGGUCAGCUACACCGCCGUGAAUACGUUCCCGGGUCUUGUACACACCGCCCGUCACAUCAUGGGAGUUGGUCCCACCCGAAGUCGCUGACUCAACCGCAAGGGGAGAGGCGCCGAAGGUGAGGCCGAUAACUGGAAUGAAGUCGAACAAGGUA